UCUUGUCAAACUGGACGUGUUUAAGAUAUCUAUUGUUUGUAUGUUGUUCUACGACUGUGGUCUCUGUCUUGUAUUUAUCUAUGUUAGCAUGACUUAACGUGCAGUGGCUGUUUUCAUGUCGUCUUAAGAGUUACAUUCUCAUUUCAGAGCUAGAUCACAGCAGCAUGACCAUUUCAACAAGGACGUAAUAUUACUUCCCAAUCCAUCAUGGGGAAUAGUGUGCAAACAAAAUCCAAAAUUAUGGUUACACAAACAUGGGCACAUCCUCAGUGCCUUUGAAUUCCAGAAGGCCUGGGACCACCAGACUGUUGUGGAAUGCAUCAGAGAUGGUUUUGGUGUGCACAUUCCAGAGGAUGUCAGCCUCCAGUUUCUAAUGGCUUGUGGCAAUAAGCUGGUGUCCCCUAAACUCCAGGAGGGCCAGGAGCUGAAUGGAAUGCUAAUCCAUAAGAUUUUUAAAACCAAAGGCCUGUAUGUGAGACCAUCAAGGACCAUUUUAACUGACUCAGAUGAAGAAAAUGAAUGUUCCAACAUCACUACCAGAUCAACAUUAAGCAGUUGUGCAACUGCUAAGGACCAGGAUGAUGACUGUUUGGAAGUUUAUGGUUCACAAAUCCACACUGGCAGACCUAGCACCACCAGGGUUGCUACAAGAGCAAUGAGAAGUAGGGAUGACCCCUGUACUAGCAGUCAGGAUGGAGAUGGAAACCCUGGCACUGGCAGUGGUGAUGAACAUGGCUAUGGCAUCACACACGCCACCAGAAGUGUUGUUAGAAGGCGUACAGCAAUGCAAGGAAGUGG